GAGAUUCAGAUUCAGGCUUGGUGUUCCUCAAGUUACUGCCCUGGACCCUCUCACAUCUCACUGUACACACUUGGUGUAACUUUGCAAGAGUGGAGCUGGACGUGCAGAACUACUUGCCUCAAAUACUGGCUCUGAAAGAUUGAAGGUCAUCCCCAAGCAUCUUUCAUAACCAUCAGCUUGUUAGAGCCCAGGUAGAAACACUAAGGUUUCAUUUGCGAGAGGCAGGGGAAGGCAGGAAACAGGGGAUUAAACUUUCAAGCUGCAAAUAAAAUAAACUCUGGCCUCAGUCCUCUGAAGAUCAGGAUGCCCAACCACCUAUUUCCUUCAGAAAGGGUGAAGAGUGGGCCCUCCUCACCCCUAGUGUGGCCAUAAUUGUACUAUGAACCCACCUAUAUCUACCAAGGCAGAAGAUGGGACCGUUCAAGGGAACUUGGCAAUGAUUGCCGCUGCCAUCAGUAAUAUUUACCAUUUCAUGAUUCAGCAUUUCUCUCUGCGUGAUUCUUCUAAAGAGUAUAAAUAAUUCAGACUAAAUUAAAGUUACUAGAAGGAUAUUUUAAGCCUAAAGUUUGAAUUCAUAC
rnacentral:lncRNA from 1 species